UACGUAGGGGGCAAGCGUUGUCCGGAUUUAUUGGGCGUAAAGAGCGUGUAGGCGGCCAUACAGGUCCGUUGUGAAAACUGGAGGCUUAACCUCCAGACGUCGAUGGAAACCGCGUGGCUAGAGUCCGGAAGAGGGGACUGGAAUUCCCGGUGUAGCGGUGGAAUGCGCAGAUAUCGGGAGGAACACCCGUGGCGAAGGCGGGUCCCUGGGACGGUACUGACGCUGAGACGCGAAAGCGUGGGGAGCGAACAGG
rnacentral:rRNA from 1 species